GGGUGGGGCUGGGCGCCCUCCCCACCCCCACGAGGGCCGCGGCCGUGGGGCGCUGGUAGCUCUCCCGCCCCUCCGCCCUGCACCCCUCCCGCCCUAGGGCUCUUUCCUGGACUGCGGCUGCAGCCUUCUCUUCCCGGAGGGCUCAGAGUUCGUCCCCUUUUCGCGAUUGGGAACGUGGACACGCCGGAGCCUGGAUGCAGAAGGGCGCGCGGGAACAGGGAGCUGGUGCGCGAGCCGCAGCCCAGCGUCCAGGCCGCCCCACUCUCUGCUGAUCCAAAGGACUAGGGAAACCCUGCGCGCCGACGGUGGCCUGGACGUUGGCGCGGGCCCUGGCGCUAAAAAACGGAUCCCAUUUCCAGAAAGGCGGGCCGGGUAUCCCGCUCCUGCCUCCUGGAGAAUUAGCUCGGCGGAGGUCGACCAGCCGGGUAGGGAGGGAGGGAUGGAGGGACAGGCCUAGGGUCGACCAGCCGGAUAGGGAGUAGCUUCUGGGAGCUCCCUUGCCUACGGAGGGCCGGUGAGGCUGCCCUCAGAGCGCCGCCAGCUGCAGCUGAGCCAGAAGCGUCCCCACUGGCUUACCCGAUAGUGGGAUUUUACACGGUGUCGGCUAAGGGUGGCUUUGUGAGAAGACCAUUUCAGAAGAAGAAACGGGGCUCUGGCUGGUGGGGUAGAAACCCCUAUGGAAUGAAAAGUACUCCCAGUCUCUUUGAGGAAGAUUGCAAAGUAAGGUGGGUUGUUUUUCUUUUGUCCCAUCCUUCCCACCCCUUAAAUUAGAAGAAAAGGCCCCCAAGCGUGCAGCACCAGGUGGACGUUUGGAAGCUGCGAGUGGAAUCUCGUUUAAAAACUUCCGGCCCCACGCACACCAAGUAUCCAUCUUCGUCGUAGUUGGGGUGAGGAAGAGUGUGACUUCCCUACCCAGAGUCUGGUUGAGCACGGAUCCCGCCGAGGAGAGAAGGGUCCCGGCCGGGGGGAAGGUCCCUCUUUCUGGGACAAAGCGAUCCUUAAUUGUGGCCACCUUCCAAAGUCCGGGGCGAAUUCGCUACGCGCGUCUGCCCGGGCGGCGCUUGGUGGGUAGUCCCGCUUCCACCAAAACUCUGUGUUUCCUUUCUCUCAAAAUAAAACUCAACAAGCCAUAAAGCUUCCGACGCCGGUGGAGAAGGCGCCGCGGAUUUAUGGCCCCUGAAUUCCCUACUCUCUAAUUAUCCUUGUUUUUACUUGACUUAUGGGUAGUGACCAAUAAAAUCAUUUUCCAUUUUGGA
rnacentral:lncRNA from 1 species